rnacentral:rRNA from 1 species
UGAGGAAUAUUGGUCAAUGGGCGUAAGCCUGAACCAGCCAAGUCGCGUGAAGGAUGACUGCCCUAUGGGUUGUAAACUUCUUUUUUAGGGGAAUAAAGUGAGUCACGUGUGACUUUUUGUAUGUACCCUACGAAUAAGCAUCGGCUAACUCCGUGCCAGCAGCCGCGGUAAUACGGAGGAUGCGAGCGUUAUCCGGAUUUAUUGGGUUUAAAGGGUGCGUAGGCCGACUUUUAAGUCAGCGGUGAAAUUUUCCGGCUCAACCGGGACAUUGCCGUUGAAACUGAUAGUCUUGAGUGUAAAUGAGGUAGGCGGAAUGUGUGGUGUAGCGGUGAAAUGCUUAGAUAUCACACAGAACUCCAAUUGCGAAGGCAGCUUACUGGCAUACAACUGACGCUGAGGCACGAAAGUGUGGGUAUCAAACA